GAUGAACGCUGGCGGCGUGCCUAAUACAUGCAAGUCGAGCGAACAGACGAGGAGCUUGCUCCUCUGACGUUAGCGGCGGACGGGUGAGUAACACGUGGAUAACCUACCUAUAAGACUGGGAUAACUUCGGGAAACCGGAGCUAAUACCGGAUAAUAUAUUGAACCGCAUGGUUCAAUAGUGAAAGACGGUUUUGCUGUCACUUAUAGAUGGAUCCGCGCCGCAUUAGCUAGUUGGUAAGGUAACGGCUUACCAAGGCAACGAUGCGUAGCCGACCUGAGAGGGUGAUCGGCCACACUGGAACUGAGACACGGUCCAGACUCCUACGGGAGGCAGCAGUAGGGAAUCUUCCGCAAUGGGCGAAAGCCUGACGGAGCAACGCCGCGUGAGUGAUGAAGGUCUUCGGAUCGUAAAACUCUGUUAUUAGGGAAGAACAAAUGUGUAAGUAUCUAUGCACGUCUUGACGGUACCUAAUCAGAAAGCCACGGCUAACUACGUG
rnacentral:rRNA from 1 species